rnacentral:rRNA from 1 species
GACGAACGCUGGCGGCGUGCUUAACACAUGCAAGUCGAACGGAAAGGCCCUGCUUUUGUGGGGUGCUCGAGUGGCGAACGGGUGAGUAACACGUGAGUAACCUGCCCUUGACUUUGGGAUAACUUCAGGAAACUGGGGCUAAUACCGGAUAGGAGCUCCUGCUGCAUGGUGGGGGUUGGAAAGUUUCGGCGGUUGGGGAUGGACUCGCGGCUUAUCAGCUUGUUGGGGGGGUAGUGGCUUACCAAGGCUUUGACGGGUAGCCGGCCUGGGAGGGUGACCGGCCACAUUGGGACUGAGAUACGGCCCAGACUCCUACGGGAGGCAGCAGUGGGGAAUAUUGCACAGUGGGCGGAAGCCUGAUGCAGCAACGCCGCGUGCGGGAUGACGGCCUUCGGGUUGUAAACCGCUUUCGCCUGUGACGAAGCGUGAGUGACGGUAAUGGGUAAAGAAGCACCGGCUAACUACGUG